rnacentral:rRNA from 1 species
AUGUGGACUUCUGACAGCCAAAAGAAGGGAUAUAUGGCUAUUACAGCCCAUUUCAUUGAUGAGUCUUGGAGGCUAAGGAACAUUCUCAUGAGGUUUCUUUAUGUUCCAGCACCACAUAAUGCGGAAGUGAUAGCUGAUCAGCUCCAUGAAUCAUUGGUUGAAUGGAAUCUUGAUGAAAAGCUCUUGACUGUGACCGUUGAUAAUUGCAACGCCAAUGGCAAGGCAAUUGCGGAGAUUGUGGGGAAGAUAGAAAAAAGUAAGCUUCUUUGUGAAGGUACUUUACUUCACAUGCGUUGUUGUGCACAUAUUUUGAAUUUGAUAGUGAAGGAUGGCUUAGAUGUUAUGCAAUCAGCUAUAGAAAACAUUCGUGAAAGUGUGGCAUAUUGGACCGCCUCACCAAAAAGGAUAGAGAAGUUUGAGGAAAUGGCCAAGUAUAAGAAAGUGAAAAUAAAAAGGAAGUUGAGACUUGAUUGCCAGACUAGGUGGAACUCUACUUUUGUAAUGCUUGAUAUUGCUUUGCCUUAUAGACCUGUCUUUGAACGUGCAAAAGAAAAAGAAAAGCAAUAUGAGUGGCUGCCUAGUUCAGAAGAAUGGGAUUUUGUUGUAGAUGUUGUAGAGAGGCUUAGGUUGUUCUAUGAAAUAACCGAGCUAUUUUCUGGAACUGAUUAUGUGACUGCCAAUGUGUACUUUCCUAAGAUAUGUGAAAUUAAAAUGAAAAUGAGGCAGUGGGAAGCAUCUAGCAACAACAUUAUCAAAGAAAUGACAAAAAGCAUGACUGAAAAAUUUGAUAAGUAUUGGAGCGACAUCCAAGGUCUAAUGGCUAUAGCUAUAAUUCUUGAUCCUCGAUACAAGAAGCAAAUGUUGGUAUCUUGCUUUGCCAUGCUCCAUGGCAUUGAGCCAUCUUCUUAUGAAUGCAUUGAAAAAGUUGAUGACAUAGUUGCUAGUCUGCGCUUAUUAUUGGAAGAAUAUGAAGUGGAAAAUGAGGCAUAUACACCGGAUGAAGAAUCUAUGAUUUCUACAAUGAAAGCUCCUGCAAUCAUGAGUGUCUUCAAAAACAUUGUAGCUCAACAAAUGCCCGCAACAACUAGACUUCAAGGUGAAAUAGAUCAAUACUUGAAUGAUGGAUUAGUGCCUUACGUUGAGAAGUUCAACGUGUUGGAUUGGUGGAAAGUGGCUAGAACUAGGUAUCCAACCUUAAGGAAAGUUGCAAGGGACAUAUUUGCUAUUCCUGUUACAAUGGUUGCUUCAGAAUCAGCCUUUUCUACAAGUGGCAGAAAGCUCAAUGACCAUAGAAGCCAAUUGACACCACAUAUGGUUGAGGUUUUAAUGUGCUCACAAGAUUGGCUUAGAAACAAGUUCAAAGAUGCUAACACAGGAGAAGCUAGCUUUUGGACUUGCCUUCAA